rnacentral:rRNA from 1 species
AUUGAACGCUGGCGGCAGGCCUAACACAUGCAAGUCGAGCGAGCGGCGGACGGGGGUGUAAUGUCUGGGAAACUGCCUGCUGGAGGGGGGUAACUACUGGAAACGGAAGCUAAUACCGCAUACCAUCAGAUGUGCCCAGGUGGGAUUGGCUAGUUGGGGGGGUAACGGCUCACCCAGGCGACGAUCCCUAGCUGGUCUGGGAGGAUGACCAGCCACACUGGAACUGAGACACGGUCCAGACUCCUACGGGAGGCAGCAGUGGGGAAUAUUGCACAAUGGGGGCAAGCCUGAUGCAGCCAUGCCGCGUGUAUGAAGAAGGCCUUCGGGUUGUAAAGCACUUUCAGCGGGGAGGCGUUACCCGCAGAAGAAGCACCGGCUAACUCCGUGCCAGCAGCCGCGGUAAUUC